rnacentral:rRNA from 1 species
GCUUUACACAUGCAAGUCGAACGGCAGCGCGGGCUUCGGCCUGGCGGCGAGUGGCGAACGGGUGAGUAAUGCAUCGGAACGUGCCCAGUAGUGGGGGAUAGCCCGGCGAAAGCCGGAUUAAUACCGCAUACGACCUGAGGGUGAAAGCGGGGGACCGAAAGGCCUCGCGCUAUUGGAGCGGCCGAUGUCGGAUUAGCUAGUUGGUGGGGUAAAGGCUUACCAAGGCGACGAUCCGUAGCUGGUCUGAGAGGACGACCAGCCACACUGGGACUGAGACACGGCCCAGACUCCUACGGGAGGCAGCAGUGGGGAAUUUUGGACAAUGGGGGCAACCCUGAUCCAGCCAUGCCGCGUGCGGGAAGAAGGCCUUCGGGUUGUAAACCGCUUUUGUUCGGGAAGAAAUCCUCUGGGCUAAUACCCCGGGGGGAUGACGGUACCGGAAGAAUAAGCACCGGCUAACCACGUGCCAGCAGCCGCGGUAAUACGUAGGGUGCGAGCGUUAAUCGGAAUUACUGGGCGUAAAGCGUGCGCAGGCGGUUGUGCAAGACAGAUGUGAAAUCCCCGGGCUUAACCUGGGAACUGCAUUUGUGACUGCACGGCUAGAGUGCGGCAGAGGGGAGUGGAAUUCCGCGUGUAGCAGUGAAAUGCGUAGAUAUGCGGAGGAACACCGAUGGCGAAGGCAGCUCCCUGGGCCUGCACU